UACGUAGGGUGCGAGCGUUAAUCGGAAUUACUGGGCGUAAAGCGUGCGCAGGCGGUUCGUUAAGUCAGAUGUGAAAUCCCCGGGCUUAACCUGGGAACUGCAUUUGUGACUGCACGGCUAGAGUGCGGCAGAGGGGGAUGGAAUUCCGCGUGUAGCAGUGAAAUGCGUAGAUAUGCGGAGGAACACCGAUGGCGAAGGCAAUCCCCUGGGCCUGCACUGACGCUCAUGCACGAAAGCGUGGGGAGCAAACAGG
rnacentral:rRNA from 1 species